rnacentral:rRNA from 1 species
UACGUAGGGUGCAAGCGUUGUCCGGAAUUAUUGGGCGUAAAGAGCUCGUAGGCGGUCUGUCGCGUCUGGUGUGAAAAUCCAGGGCUUAACCCUGGACCUGCAUCGGGUACGGGCAGAUUAGAGUGCGGUAGGGGAGAUCGGAAUUCCUGGUGUAGCGGUGAAAUGCGCAGAUAUCAGGAGGAACACCGGUGGCGAAGGCGGAUCUCUGGGCCGUAACUGACGCUGAGGAGCGAAAGCAUGGGGAGCGAACAGG